UUCGACUAUGCUACGCUGAGACGAUCGGAGGUACCACAGACCUCUACCCUCCCGCCGAAGUGCGACGACGCUUUAGAAAGCGUCAUUGGAAGCCACUUCCAACCCACCCCGCCCCACCCCCCACCCCCCACCCCAAUAAAUCCCUAACCUCUCCCAAUCCCUAACCCCUCUCUCCCCCUCCCCAGCAAAGCAUCCCAGCGAGCAAUGCUCGGCAAUGGCGGCCACUGAGGCAACGCUGGCGCCCGAGAAGCACGUCCCAAGUCCGAAUCCCUUCUCCAAUUCCUCAACCGCACCGAGCUCCCCCUCCUCCUACGCCGCCAGGAACCCCACCCCUUCUUCUCCGAGUCAGAGCUGACAGUAUUGAAAGGGGUGCGCUCGAAGACGGCUCCAGCGUUCUGGCCGCUUAUGCGCCGGAUCUCGCGCCAUUAAUGUCCGAUGAGGUUCACGCCGUCUUCGGCUUUUCUUGACUUGGAUCUUGAGCUUGAUGAGCUCUCCAACCCCUCCAUCGGCUCUGUCUUCCUCCUCCUCUAGCAUUGCGGCAACACGCGGCGAGGACCGGCGCUUGGUGGAUCCGACCGCCGCGAUAAGAAGGCAGCGAAGAAGGAUGCCGUGCCCUCCCUGGUCUCAGAUAAGGGUUUGGAGAAAAUGGGAAUGAAUAGCCUCAUCAACCUCACCUCCAAAGCCGAGAUCCACUAUGAGGGCGUCCACGUCUCCAUCAACCUCCAGCAGUCCACCAUUGCCCUCCAGAAUGGUACGCCACUUUUGAUUCUCAUGAUAUAGUGGAUGUAAUUAAAUGGAGUUGGAUUACUUUUAAUUUUUUUUUAGAAUUCUGUACCUCAUGGAGACAGAGGGUCAGCAGCAGAAACAAAUAAUUUCUUUUUUGAACUGUCCAACAAAAAUUAUGUAUAUAUUUCAAAA